CACAAACCACUCUGGGUUUCUUUUCAUGACAUUACUUUAAAACAUGUCUGUCUCCCACAAAAUCUCAAACUUCUUGAUAGCAACAAUCACCUCUUUUUAUCUUUCUAUCUCCAGAAUCUAGCAGAGUGCUUGGCUCAUGACAGAUGUUCAAUAAAAAUGUUCACUGAAGUAAACUGAAACACCCUUCUCAAGUUUGGGGUAUGAAUUAGUAUUAAAAUAGGCCCCAAAAAGCAGGUGCCUAGAAAGAAAAUAGAAAGAAAGCACAGGCCUUGAUUAUCCACCCAUGGGGUAAUUACUUCUAAAUAAUUCAGAUUGAAGCAGAGUUGUUCCUGAAAGAUGCCAAAACAACUGGUCAGUUCAUUGGAAAAGUCAGCCAGUUGGCAUCAUGGAGAUCAAAACACUCGGCGAGUCAUUUCACAGGACUUGUGACUUUCCAGCAGGUGUCUAUGCAGGCUGUGAUGGAAGAAGUUACUGACCACUCUUUGUUUAUUUCUACUUUCUCUUCCUCCUACCCUCUCACAUCCCUCACAGUUUAUGCUGGUUUUUAAACACAUACUUGAAAAUAUAAACAUUGAAAAACAUCCAUAUAUGAGCAGGCUUCUCAAAAUGCCUAGAGAACAAAUAUUGUCCACAUGGAAAAUCCCACAUAUGAAAAGGCAAGUUUAACCACGUUGCUCUAAAGCACUAGCCCCUUUCAGGUUUCGGACACGUGGCCUCUCUGGCUGAAUGGACAGAAAGUCUGAAUGUGUAAGAGCAGCUCAAAACAACAACCACCCAAACAAGACAGCCAUUCUCGCUCCUCUCAGACCACUGCUCCGAGAGGCUUGCUCUCCGACGGGUCCUACAUGCUAAAUAACUCCUAUUCUUAGUUCACGUUGACUUGGUGGCUCGAGCCAGGUGAAAAGACAAUUGACCCAAACAGCCAAACCGAACUCGAAACUUCACUAACGAGGCAGCUUAUUUUCUAAUCCCAGUCAGCAUUGUAGGGCACCGAGCGACUUCUUGGCAGAUACUGCAUCUUCAGCCAGGAGAAGUUGGCUUAGUACAAAAGGGCUUUUGAAGCGGAAACUACAAGAAGAUGCAUCUGUCUUAACAAAAAAUAAUAAACCAAGAAAAUAAAAGAUAUGGGAUCCUAGAAAUAAAAGGUGCAACACAAGAGAGAGAUAAAGAAAAACAUUGACAGCCUCUCUAUGAAGAAAGACCCAAAGUAACAACUUUGCAACAGCUCUAGGGAAUAAUUUGUUCAGAUAAGAGUAACUCAGGAGACUCCAAGAGCGAUUUUCGAGAAGAUUAAAUCUAUAGAAUACCUAAUAUGUUUGCACUUGUAAAGAAGAGUUUUAUACUACUUGGAGAGAAUUUAGCAGUUCAUCUAUCAGUAUCAUUUGCAUAGAUAUAAUGUUCGCUAAAUAUUUCUAUAGCCUAAGGAAGAUGGUGAAUGAGAAGUGUGCUUAUGUGUGGCAAGGAAGAAGGGGAUUUACCAAGUGGGAAGUCCAUGGUCAAAUGCUUAAGACUUAGUAAGGCAUUUACCAAGUGGGAAGUCAAUGGGCAAAUGCUUAAGACGUAGUAAUCAGAAUGCAAAUACAUAAGUACAUGUAGAGGCAAAACAUAGCAUUGUAGUUAUGUGCGCAGAUGCUGGAGUGAGACUCUCUGGGUUCAAAUCCCAGCCCUACCAAUUACUAGUCAUGUGACUUUGGGCAAAUUGUUGACCUAUUUGAAACUCAGUUUUCUCGUAUGAAAACUGUGAUUAUAAUUACUCAUCUCAUAAGAUUUUUAUAUGAACUAACUUUCUAAAAUACUUAGAAUAGUACUUGUCACAAAGCCAGCAGUAUAAAAGUGUUGACCAUUAAAAUAAUGUCAUUAGAAACAUGGAGAUAAAUAUUAAAAGAAUAAGCUAAAACAGAAAUUGGUUGUGACAGGAGGAGAAUGAUGCACUGGGAAUAUUAUUGCUUUUCAUAACUUGGAGAAAUUUGAUUUUUUAAAGUUUGUGUUCACAUAUAAUUAAAAAAAUAGAAAACUAAAUUUUAAGUGACAAGAAUUAUAUUCUUCCAUUUAGUCAGGUGCUGGAUAAAGUAGCUUUUUUUUAGGUGUCUGCAAAUAUUAUGACAAUUAGGACAAGAAAAGUGCAUGCUAUUUUCAACCAGUUUGUAUUAAUGAUGAUCCUUAGAUGUAAGCAACAGAAGUUGAUGAAGCUGAUUUAAAUACAAUGGUUUAGUUGAAAAGAUGUUGGGGAGAUCACAGAAUGAAUUGCAAUGCUGGAGAACCAGUUAUGAAAACAUACAAGCAUGAAGGGAGGCUGCAUAGCCAUAACUAUGUCCUGAAUCACACCAAAUACCAUCAGGUGAGGAUUUCACAUCUAUCGCCAUUGGACUCGCCAUACCGUAAUUUAUACAUUUACUGACCUGGCCGCCCCAACUCUUCCUGGAAAUCAGAUGCUGCUGCCACCACAGCCAUAUCAGAAAGAAGCCUCCUCUCGUGUUGUUUUAUGUCACUAGUCCCACUUCAAGUCAUAGCCAAGUGCAUAAAUUGAUCAGGGAGGCUGGGAAGACAAACUACUUGGUGUAUAUAUAAUGUCUGUGGUAGGAGGCCAACUCUACCGCCGUCCCAGAGCCAUAAGAUAGGUAAUUUUCCAAUUACAGACUAGAUGGAAUAGACUAUAUUCUUAUAUUAAUUGCUUCUUCAUAGAAGUACAUUUAUUUACCAUCAUUGAUUCAAGUUAGCAAUAUGACUAACUUUGGCCAAUUAAAUAUAAGUAACAGUCAUUCUUCACUUCAGGACAGAAAUACUAAGAACCAGGAUAUGGUUCUCCCAAUCUACUAUUCCCUGCCAGGCAAAUCUGAAGGCAUGUUGAAAGGAUGCUUCUGUCAGCCUGAGUCCCUAAAUGACUAUGAUAAGCAAAGCUUCCUUGCCAACUUGUGAUGGACAUGUAUUAUGAGCAAGAAAUAAAUGUGAUUGUUUAAAGCCACA
rnacentral:lncRNA from 10 species